rnacentral:rRNA from 1 species
ACCAAGGUAACGAUCCGUAGCUGGUCUGAGAGGACGAUCAGCCACACUGGGACUGAGAUACGGCCCAGACCCCUACGGGGGGCAGCAGUGGGGAAUAUUGGACAAUGGGGGAAACCCUGAUCCAGUCAUGCCGCGUGUGUGAAGAAGGCCUUAGGGUUGUAAAGCACUUUCAGCGAGGAAGAAAAAUUAUAAAAUAAUAAAUUAUAAGUAUGACGUUACUCGCAGAAGAAGCACCGGCUAACUCCGUGCCAGCAGCCGCGGUAAAACGGAGGGUGCAAGCGUUAAUCGGAAUUACUGGGCGUAAAGGGCAUGUAGGUGGUUUGUUAAGCCUUAUGUGAAAGCCAUAGGCUCAACCUAUGAAAUGGAUAAGGAACUGACAAGCUAGAGUGCAGUAGAGGAAGGUAGAAUUCCAGGUGUAGCGGUGAAAUGCGUAGAUAUCUGGAGGAAUACCAGUGGCGAAGGCGACCUUCUGGACUGACACUGACGCUGAGGUGCGAAAGCGUGGGUAGCAAACAGGAUUAGAUACCCUGGUAGUCCACGCUGUAAACGAUAUCAACUAGCCGUUGGAUUAUUAAAUAAUUUUGUGGCGUAGCUAACGCGAUAAGUUGAUCGCCUGGGGAGUACGGUCGCAAGGCUAAAACUCAAAUGAAUUGACGGGGGCCCGCACAAGCGGUGGAGCAUGUGGUUUAAUUCGAUGCAACGCGAAGAACCUUACCUACUCUUGACAUCCAAAGUACUUUCCAGAGAUGGAAAGGUGCCUUAGGGAACUUUGAGACAGGUGCUGCAUGGCUGUCGUCAGCUCGUGUUGUGAAAUGUUGGGUUAAGUCCCGUAACGAGCGCAACCCUUGUCCUUAUUUGCCAGCGCGUAAUGGUGGGAACUUUAAGGAGACUGCUGGUGAUAAACCGGAGGAAGGUGGGGACGACGUCAAGUCAUCAUGGCCCUUAAGAGUAGGGCUACACACGUGCUACAAUGGCA